rnacentral:lncRNA from 1 species
GCUUGUUGAACAAACGCCUCCAGACAAGAGUGCAUUGCCAUGGACAUCUGAUGGCCAGAGCUUAACCGCUGUGAUCUAAGGAGUGGCAGGACUCAGGAGGCAUGUUUUGGCUCAUGUUUUGCAAUGCUGUGCUGUGUGUCUCAGUUCCCAUUUAUAUUUUACUCUAUGAGACAGAUUUAAGCUAGAAGAGCUACUGACCCAACCUCCUAGAUUUGGACCACUGCUUUCUGGGAUGCUAUCUGUAUCUUUGAACACACUUCCUUGAAUGAACUAAACCUAGAUCUCCAUGGUCUUUCCAAAAGGAGAAAGAUUUCUUUACUUUCAAAUAAUGAGGGAUCAAUACUUUGCUCAGGGAAAGCAAAGGAAAAUAAGUAAGAUUAAAUUGAGUGGUAUAGGGUGCUUGGGCAAGAUUUCUGCCAUAUAUCUCUGGCCUCUGUCUUGAACUGCCACAAUAAACACCAUCACUGCCCUUAAUUAUAACAUGUAUAAAUUAAUGAAUCCUGCGAACAUGAAGAAUUGAGCCUUCUCACUUCCCUGCCUGAGCAAAAUGUGAAAUUCUUGAUGAAAUUAUCAAGAUAUCACUUAAGGUCAGUGUUAAUUAUAAUUAAUUUGCUAUGAAAUAACUUGGUAGACAAAAUUAUCCCUUCUUCCUACAACUUUUAUGAAAAUAAAAUGCUAUAUAUGCAUUGU